rnacentral:rRNA from 1 species
AGGAUAAACGCUGGCGGCGUGCCUAACACAUGCAAGUCGAACGCGCUUUUUCUCGCAAGAGGGGGAGCGAGUGGCGGACGGGUGAGGAACACAUGGGUACCUCCCCUGAAGUGAGGGAUACCGGCGAGAAAUCGCCGACAAUACCGCAUAGGCUCUUUUUUGCAAAAGAGAGAGCAAAGUUUCCCGUCAGGGAGACGCUUUGGGAUGGGCCUGUGGCCGAUUAGCUAGCUGGUGGGGUAACGGCUCACCAGGGCAGUGAUCGGUAGCUGGUCUGAGAGGACGAUCAGCCACACUGGGAUUGAGAACGGCCCAGACUCCUACGGGGGGCAGCAGUGAGGAAUUUUCCGCAAUGGGCGCAAGCCUGACGGAGCAACGCCGCGUGCAGGACGACGGCCUUCGGGUUGUAAACUGCUUUUCGUGGGGGUACGAGGAACGGACGGUACCCGAGGAAGAACGCCCCGGACUAACGUACGUGCCAGCAGCCGC